rnacentral:rRNA from 1 species
AAUCUUGCGCAAUGGGCGAAAGCGUGACGCCGCGACGCCGCGUGAGCGAUGAAGGCUUNCGGAUCNUNAAGCUCUCUCUUUGGGUNAGAGGGUCUUCGGACUUGACGGUACCUAAGGAGUAAGCCCCCGCGAACUACGUGCCAGCAGGCGCGGUAAUACGGAGGGGGCAAGCGUUGUCCGGAAUUACUGGGGGUAAAGGGUGCGUAGGCGGCCUUUUGAGUCAGGUGUGAUAGCCCACGGCUUAACCGUGGGAUUGCAUUUGAAACUGGAAGGCUUGAGUAUCGGAGAGGGUAGAGGGAUUCCCAGUGUAGCGGUGGAAUGCGUAGAUAUUGGGAGGAACACCAGUGGCGAAGGCGACUACCUGGACGAAAACUGACGCUGAGGCACGAAAGCUAGGGGAGCAAACA